UACGGAGGGUGCAAGCGUUGUCCGGAUUUAUUGGGUUUAAAGGGUGCGUAGGCGGUUCUUUAAGUCCGGGGUGAAAGCCCACUGCUCAACAGUGGAACUGCCCUGGAAACUGGAGAACUUGAGUACAGACGAGGGCGGCGGAAUGGAUGGUGUAGCGGUGAAAUGCAUAGAUACCAUCCAGAACCCCGAUUGCGAAGGCAGCUCGCUGUGCCGAAACUGACGCUGAGGCACGAAAGCGUGGGGAGCGAACAGG
rnacentral:rRNA from 1 species